AGAAGAUGGUGAGCGAGAUUAGGAUUGAAAGUUCACUCAAUACAUCAACAAUAGAAACGUCUGUGUCUUCAGGUUUCUCAAAAACGUGACUUGUAAAGUCUGAUAAAGUGUAUUCGAAUAAGGCAGUUUUGCAGUAGAGGGAGAAUAAACUGAAAAUGUUGGUAAAAGAAAUGCGUUAGUUUGUAGUGUUCAAUUUCUCCUAGAAAUUGUAAACUCAUAAACAAUGUUUUAUAACUGAUAACUACAAGGAUAAUAAAAAAAAUGAAAACACGAUUUCGAUUGAAGAAGUAGCAGCUAUCUAUGACGGUGACUUUCAAAAAUUGUCUUGCAAGACAAUGUCAUGGAUCAAAUAUCAGAAUAUUAUAGAACACCAUAAUAAGAUACAAUGAACAUAAUCUAGAUGUUAUAAAAAAGCUGUAUGUUCAACUUUCUUCCAUAGAGUAUCAACGGAUGACUAGCUGCUUGAAAACUUUUCUUCAAAUGAUUGAUGUAAUUAUAUUAUAUGUCUCGUUCUCGAUGAUAAUAAUGUGCUUGUCAUGGUAAAAUUACAACCUUCAAUGCAUAAGGUUUUUUUGAAAAAAUAACGCCCAACCGCCAUCUUCCCUGGGUCGUCAGGCUCACAGUUUCAUAUUGUUUCGUUGUGCUUAAACAUCAACACGUUUUCUGCAACUCGUUUAAAAUAAUUCUUAAAUUGUUACAUUUAAGUAUAUUAGAUUAUAUCCAAAUACAUCGGAGAAGGAAAAGAGAUCAAGAUCCAGGGAAAUGUCUAAACGUCGUAGAAAUGAUAAAGUACAUGCUUUGAAAAAACGCAUUGAUAAUCUAAGGAAGUUAGUUAAGAAAUUAGUUGAGGAAUUAGUAAAUGUUCAAAAAGAACUCGCAUCAAAAUUUCCACAAGGAAAUAAUUUCUUGGAAGCUGAAUAAACCGAUCUUGAGAUCGAGAAAAAAAAUAAAAAAUUGGAAAAUAUUCCACUUAUAAAAAUGAAGUUACGGAAGGAGAAAUUAAAACAGACACUGCGGUUAAAACAGAGGCAUCAUUAUAUGGCAUCCUGAAGGUUCUAGAUAAGGAUCCAAAUGAAUCCAGCUCCACUCACAACUAAAAGAAACGUGGUUGGAGUGGAAAAAUAAAGAUCUGCCAGAGAAAAAUAAAAUAGAAAUCUUAGAAUCAUAUAAAAUUACACUGAAUCGACCAAAAUGAACCUUGAGAUACUACCACUGGUAUUAGAUGUUGCUAAAAAGAGAGACCAACACUUCUUGGAUACUCAGAAAUGCGUCGGUACCAUUAUAUGGACGUUGGCAGUGCGGCAGUUUCUAUUUUAAUAGAUCCUCCGAAAGACGGCCUAGAUGAGAAUAUAUUUACGGAUUAUAUCAAUCACGCUGGGCAGGAUCUUUUUCUUCAACAGACUAAAGCACGAAAAUCAUUUAUUACAUCACAACUAAACAAAAAUAUUAAACCAGUGAUAGACUCGAUGGUUUCCAAUGAAUAGUUGUAUGAAAACAAGCUCAAGGAAAUGGUUAUAGUUGCAAAAGAGAUAGAGAAUGCUUGUGUUGAAAUUAAGAAGCCCUCAUCGAAAACAGCAGCAAAGUUUCGAAGUCAGUAAAACUCGAAAUACCCACCGGUGAAUUACCGUCCAAUAGAUCAACAAUAAAAACGCCUGUUAAAAUUCAAAUCAAAGACGUACAGAGCCCCACGAAAUCUGCCCAGAACAAUAAUCCGGAAGACAAGCCACUCAUCAUCGAGAAGUAAUAAAUGUAAUUAAAAUAGCAAGUCGUUUAUCCUUCUAUAUGGAGAUAUGGAAAGAAAUUACAGCUGAUAAAUAUAUUCUCAGCUAUUUAUGUGAUUAUAAAAAUUACGGAGAUACCAAUAAAAGAGUCUGUACUGAGGGAAAACUGUCUUCUGUCGAGGAAUGCGAGGACUGUAAGGAAGUUCAUAUCGACCUUUUCCUAGUACCAAAACCCGAUGACUCUAAUCAAUUCAUAAUCAACUUAAAAGAGAUGAAUAACUUUAUUCAAGUUCCACAUUUUAAACUAGAGGACAUUCGGUUUCCUCAAGAGAUUUCUUAGGAUCUAUAGAUCUUAAAAAUGCUUAUUUCUCAGUAUCUAUAUAUAGAGGCUAUAGAACAUUUUUUCAAGUUGAAGGGAAAAACA